CGCAUGCGCAAUAUAACCUGGAGUCAAACAGAAAGUGCAAUUUACGCAGGAAUGGGAUCGUCUAGUAGCAAACAAAAUUGGGCCGGUCGGGUCUCAUAUUACCCGGAGGUUGACAAAAAUGCAAAUGGUUUGAUUGCCACGAGUCGCACUAUACUGAACGAAAAAGAAAUAAUGGAAGACUCGAGAGAGAGCAUACUACUAGUCCAAUCCUACAAAGUUCCGCUUAACAAUAUCCCAGGAAUAUGGUGGUGGUUUUAUCACAGAUUUGUCGUAUUUAAAACGAAUAGUUGGUGGUGGUCCAUAGAGAAGAAUGAUACAGAAAUAAUCAUACAAAGAAGCAAGAAUGAAUCAGCAGUUAGAGACAACAUUCUGGGCCAAAA